CUUCAUAAAAUAAAUCAAAGUCAUUUUAAAAAAAUCAUCCACAAAGGUGACAACAUAUCUAAGCCUAGUCUUAGACCCAACAAGACAAGAUCCCUAAACAUAUGAAUGAACUAGUUCAAAAGUAUAUUCAACUUGUUUAUUGAUUCUAUGACUCAAUGAGAUAUGAUAGUGUUUUGCAAAAUGACUAGACUCACUUUCUACUAAAGAUACAUCAUAAACUUGGAGGCAUAGCUUCUUAAAAGUUGGCAAAGAAGGAUGUCCCAAUUGACAAUGUGCUUUAAACGGAGAAACUGUACUGGCACAGAUAACUGAUCAAGGCACACAAGCAUCCAAAAUAUAUAGACCAUUAGAUACAUAUCCUUUACCAAUAACCUUCUUCGUCACAAGAUUCUGAAAAACAUAAUAAUCAAGGAAAAAC
rnacentral:lncRNA from 1 species